rnacentral:rRNA from 1 species
CCUCGGGUGGUAGUAGUGAGGAAGAGUGGUCAAGGGACGUAAGGCGGAACCAGUCAAGGCGCGUGAAGGAAGAAGGAUCUAGGGUGUGUAAACUUCUUUUAGAGGGGAAGAAAGGUAUCCAAGUGAGGAGAUUUGCAUGUACCCUAUGAAUAAGCAUCGGCUAAAUCCGUGCCAGCAGCCGCGGUAAUACGGAGGAUGCGAGCGUUAUCCGGAGUUAUUGGGUUUAAAGGGUGCGUAGGUGGUUUUUUAAGUCAGCGGUAAAAGUUUGUGGCUCAACCAUAAAAUUGCCGUUGAAACUGGCAGACUUGAGUGUGUUUGAGGUAGGCGGAAUGCGUGGUGUAGCGGUGAAAUGCAUAGAUAUCACGCAGAACUCCGAUUGCGAAGGCAGCUUACUAAGCCAUAACUGACACUGAGGCACGAAAGCGUGGGGAUCAAACAGGAUUAGAUACCCUUGUAGUC